UACGUAGGGACCAAGCGUUGUUCGGAUUUACUGGGCGUAAAGGGCGCGUAGGCGGCGCGGUAAGUCACUUGUGAAAUCUCUGAGCUUAACUCAGAACGGCCAAGUGAUACUGCAGUGCUAGAGUGUGGAAGGGGCAAUCGGAAUUCUUGGUGUAGCGGUGAAAUGCGUAGAUAUCGAGAGGAACACCUGCGGCGAAGGCGGGUUGCUGGGCUGACACUGACGCUGAACUGCGAAAGCUAGGGGAGCGAACGGG
rnacentral:rRNA from 1 species